CUGUUUCAUAUCUGGUGUGGUUAUUUGUUUCCAAGUUCUUGCUAUUAGUAUCUUUGCCGCAAUAAAGGAGUGGAUGGUCAAUACUAAUUGGUCUCUUGGGAGUCUAUCACAAUUAAGAUGGAGUAGACCUGCCUGUGGGCAUUUUUUUACUUUAAUAUUGAAAAACUCCAAAAAAAGAUAUACUGAUUGCCAUAAAGUGCUAAUUUUUGGGCAACCCCACCAGAUAUGUAACAUGUCUCCCUCAUGUGUUAGACAUCUCCAACACAGGGAGGAAUUAGAUGAUAUCUUGGCCAACCUUGUUGGUACUAGGUACCACC